CAUCUGCAGAGGAAUAGCAGGGCUGUUCUUCAUAGUUAUGACUGUAUUAUUUCUUUAUGUCAUUAGUCACCAAGGAAGAAAAUCUACAAGAAAAGAUAAGGCAAAUAAAAAUCAGUACAUGGAAUCACAAAGAAAAGACCUGCUUCUUCCUCCCGGUCUCUAUCUGAACUCAGACCUGCUGACAUCCGUUGUAUACCGUGUUUAAGAA